AUUGAACGCUGGCGGCAUGCUUUACACAUGCAAGUCGAACGGUAACAGGCCGCAAGGUGCUGACGAGUGGCGAACGGGUGAGUAAUGCAUCGGAACGUGCCCAGUCGUGGGGGAUAACGCAGCGAAAGCUGCGCUAAUACCGCAUACGAUCUAUGGAUGAAAGCGGGGGACCGCAAGGCCUCGCGCGAUUGGAGCGGCCGAUGUCAGAUUAGGUAGUUGGUGGGGUAAAGGCUCACCAAGCCAACGAUCUGUAGCUGGUCUGAGAGGACGACCAGCCACACUGGGACUGAGACACGGCCCAGACUCCUACGGGAGGCAGCAGUGGGGAAUUCUGGACAAUGGGCGCAAGCCUGAUCCAGCAAUGCCGCGUGCAGGAAGAAGGCCUUCGGGUUGUAAACUGCUUUUGUACGGAACGAAACGGCUCUGGUUAAUACCUGGGGCUAAUGACGGUACCGUAAGAAUAAGCACCGGCUAACUACGUGCCAGCCGCCGCGGUAA
rnacentral:rRNA from 1 species